ensembl:lncRNA
GAAAGGUCCUCCCUUUGGUGAUUUGAGGGCCGUCUGGGUGCCGGCCCUUGAGGGGGGGUCUAGGGCGGGGGCCCGAGCCAGCGACUCCGGCUUCCUGUGUCCCCCAGCCAUCGUCUCCAGAGGUGUUCCGUGUCCCCCAGCCGUCGACUCCGGAGGUGUUAUCUGUCCCCCAGCCGUCGACUCUGGAGGUGUUCCGUGCUUCCCAGCCGACCAUUCCAGAGACGUUCAGUGCCCUGCAGUCGGCGCUCUGGAGCUGGCCAACUGACUGUCCGCCGGGCCGACCCCCGGAGUCUCCCCGGCCGUUUGCCGGGCCAACCCCCAGAAGCUCCCCGGCCACUUGACCGCCCGCCGGGCCGCCCGCCACAGUUCCCCAGGCGGCCCACCAUCGUCUGGUUUCCCUCCCUCCCGCCCCUUGUCUGUUCCUGGUCUGGUUAGGGCCAUCUGGAAUUUGGCCCUUGAGGGGGGAAUUCUGUCACGGUUUUGGUUCAUGUCUGGUUUUAUUUUGUUGUUUCUUGCCUCUGUUCUCCCUGGGUCAUGUUACUUCCUUCCUUGUUCUGUCCUCCUUUGUGAUUGUCUGACACGUCAUGAUUGUUUCCACCUGCGUCCAAUCACCUGCACCUCCCUAGUUUAUUUAAACCAUGUGGGUCUGUUGUCACGUGUCGCAUCAUUGUUAGUUGUUGAAUGUACAGAAGUCCAUGUUCCUGUUUCCUGUCUCCUGUUCCCUGACCUCGUUCAUGCCUUUUUGGAGUUUGAGUUUUUUUGACUAUUAAAGUCCCUUUUUGUUUUCAAAGAAACUCUGCGUCGGAGUCCUACCUUUGCCUUCAACGAACCCGUUCUGACAGGUCCAGAAGCUUUGCAGAACACAUGUUAAUGGAAGUGUCGGCCAGAAACCUCAGGAAUAUCUGCAACAAGUCACUCCAGCAAGUACAGAUGUUACUGGGAUGCGAACAGCAGUCCUCCGUGGCCUUCCUGUCAUCCUUGGUGUUACGCACUCCUCUAAAGAGAGGAUACCGUAGCACGCAGUCACGUGAGCUGGCCACAAGUUCACAGUGUGGACUCUCCAGUCCAGCAGACAGCAGCUCCACUCCUGAAUCCUGCAGGCCGUUGUAACUCAGAUCCAGUUCUCUCAGACUAGAGGACUGGGAGCUGAGAACCGAGGACAGAACUUCACAGCUUCUCUCUGAAAGGUUACAGCCAUUCAGUCUGAAGAGACAACAAUCAACAAGAAGAAAGUUAACAUUUAUGGUGAAAUAAAAUCAAACCAGUAAGAGCAAAUGAAUUGUUGAGUUGAAUUUAUAGAAUUGUUCAGUGAAAGUGUUUACAAUUAGUUUUGUUCUACAUUAAACAAGAGAAAAAAACAGUUAAUUGUCUCGACUGUUUACAAGUAAUGUGUCAAUAUCAAGGUAAGGCAUGGAUAUUUAAUGUUGUUCAUUAGAGUUAAAUACAAAGUUAGGCUUGGUUCUUGUGAUGUCAUGUAAACAAACAUGAAUUCACAAAAAGGCCUUGUGGGAGCUAUUAUUUAGUUAUUCUUAAAUAUUGUUUAAUUUCUUCAACUAUUUGGGUAAUACUGU